UCACGCCCACCACCUAAGAGGGUGUAAGUCGGCUCACUGGCCUUCCCUGUGGGACUGCUGUGCAACCAGGAUGAUGGCUGCACCGACUUGUAACUGAUGCUCAUCCAGUGGUCACCUGCGCAGUACCCAUGUGUGAACGGCACUGGUGAGCACUUGAACAACAGUUACAGUUCCACACAAAUCUUUGCCUCUGUUCCUGGACAGAUGGUAAUUAUUCCAGAGCAAAAGGAUGGAAUCAUGUGUGAGAAGAACAUUUUCUCAAUAUGGAAACUGGACCAAGAACUGUGAAGCACCUCUGUGGGAACGUCCUCUAAGCAGGAAUUACAACUGACAUUAGAGCUUUUUCAAAAGUGCCAUUUGAAAAGAAACAAGCCAUUUCUAAAACAAUAAUUUAUUUCUUUAUUUAACUGAAUUAUGUUGCACUUCCAAGAAACCCCUCCCCCCACGCAACAUUAGGGAGCAGCAUUAACUGCAGCAAUAACAGGCUCUAUCCAAACAUGGUUUGAAUUCUGACCAUCAAACAUCUUCUUUAAAAAUAAAAUACUGCUUCCUGUCUCUACGGAAAUAACUUGA